AACGAACGCUGGCGGCAGGCCUACACAUGCAAGUCGAACGCCCCGCAAGGGAGGUGGCGGACGGGUGAGUAACACGUGGGAACAUACCCUUCGGUUCGGAAUAACUCAGGGAAACUUGAGCUAAGACCGGAUACGUCCGCGAGGAGAAAGAUUCAUCGCCGGAGGAUUGGCCCGCGUCCGAUUAGCUAGUUGGUGAGGUAACGGCUCACCAAGGCGACGAUCGGUAGCUGGUCUGAGAGGAUGAUCAGCCACAUUGGGACUGAGACACGGCCCAAACUCCUACGGGAGGCAGCAGUGGGGAAUAUUGGACAAUGGGCGAAAGCCUGAUCCAGCCAUGCCGCGUGAGUGAUGAAGGCCCUAGGGUUGUAAAGCUCUUUCGUCAGGGACGAUAAUGACGGUACCUGAAGAAGAA
rnacentral:rRNA from 1 species